rnacentral:rRNA from 1 species
UACGGAGGUUGCAAGCGUUGUUCGGAAUGACUGGGCGUAAAGGGAGCGCAGGCGGUACGGUAAGUCUAAAGUGGAAGCCCGGGGCUUAACCUCGGAAGUGCUUUGGAUACUGCCGUACUCGAGUUCGUGAGAGGAGAGCGGAAUUCCAGGUGUAGCGGUGAAAUGCGUAGAUAUCUGGAGGAACACCGGUGGCGAAAGCGGCUCUCUGGCACGAUACUGACGCUGAGGCUCGAAAGCGUGGGGAGCGAACAGGAUUAGAUACCCUGGUAGUCCACGCCGUAAACGUUGUGCACUAGGUGUGGGAGGUAUCGACCCCUUCCGUGCCGCAGCUAACGCAUUAAGUGCACCGCCUGGGGAGUACGGUCGCAAGACUGAA